AGGCGGCCUCCUGAGAAAUGUUUGCAAUUGUAAGGCGUCUCUCUCAUCCAGGUUUACCCAGAUUCGCAAACUAUGGCGACAAACAACCAUAGCAGAAGCAUGUCCGGAUUAUUUCACAUAUAUCACAAAAUCCUGCAAAGCAGGUAACGAGGAGACCAAAGGCCUAGUUAUUUAUGGAGAUCUGGGGCCACAGCAGAGCUCCUCAUGGCAGGAUAAGGCAGUGGAAAGCAGACUCAACGGUUAACCCACAGUCCUCCUCAGCAAGCUGGGAGAAGCAACUGAUGCCACUUAGAUGCUUAGACCGGGCCUUCUGGGAGAGAUCUGGCCCAAGGAGCAGCCGGCAGCUUGACACAGUGACCAAUUGGAAGCACAGCAGCCACACGCCAUGAAACAAGGUGAUCAUCUUCACUCAUUUCCUGAGGCCAGAGCCUUCCUUACGCAGGACAUGGAUACCCCAGUCCCAGCUGUGCUGAAGCGUCAGGAAGCCUCCCCCGACCCCACCCUGAACAACAGUGAGGGGGGUUAGGUGUCCUCAAAAGAUCUACUCUGUCAACUGGAGUUGUUGAGAAACUCAGGAAAGGGAACUAAAAAGGAUAAGAAAGUGGUGCAUUCCAGUGUCUUCCUGUUCUCUGUUGCAGAGAGCCAGCUGGUGGACCGCAGAGACAGACUUCCAGCCAGGGCCAAGCCCUUCAGGAAGGGAGUCAUGCACCAAACUCAGCUAACAGACCACCAGGGCACCACUGGGUCUCC
rnacentral:lncRNA from 1 species